GAAUAUUGGACAAUGGGGGGUACCCUGAUCCAGCCAUGCCGCGUGUGUGAAGAAGGCCUUUUGGUUGUAAAGCACUUUCAGCGAGGAGGAGGCUACUCAGGUUAAUCCCUAGGGAUCGUGGACGUUACUCGCAGAAUACGCACCGGCUAACCCUUUGCCAGCCGCCGCGGUAAUACAGAGGGUGCAAGCGUUAAUCGGAUUUACUGGGCGUAAAGCGUGCGUAGGUGGCCAAUUAAGUCAAAUGUGAAAUCCCCGAGCUUAACUUGGGAAUUGCAUUCGAUACUGGUUGGCUAGAGUAUGGGAGAGGAUGGUAGAAUCCCAGGUGUAGCGGUGAAAUGCGUAGAGAUCUGGAGGAAUACCGAUGGCGAAGGCAGCCAUCUGGCCUAAUACUGACACUGAGGUGCGAAAGCAUGGGGAGCAAACA
rnacentral:rRNA from 1 species